rnacentral:lncRNA from 1 species
UCAGAUCUCCUGACUCAGUGUUGACAAAACUGAGGCACGCACGCACCUGGAACCAGGACACUCCUACAGUAAAGGCAGAAAUGGUGUUUGUCAAUGAGCAGGAAGAAAACAUAAAGUAUUUAACAGUCAGGUCUGUGGGUGACCCAGAAGAACAACAGCAGGAUGUGUAAAUAAAGGCUGCUGCAAGCAGCGACACUGCCUAAGGACUGCCCUUAAGAGCCAAGUGUCAGGCUAUUCAGAGACAGAUGCAGUCCCACGGGAGGAGCAAGUUGGAUGGCAUUUUAGGAGCAGAGCAGGAAAACCAGCUGAGCACCGGGAGUAAUCCCUGGGUGCGUAACAGAAACCUCAGCACACUGCUGGCACGGGUGGGAUCUCUGCUGAACGCUCCGCCCUGCUCUGGAUGCCCUGAUCCAAAUGGUGAAAAACUGGAGACAGGGAAGCAAUGUUUAUAGGGGUGGUGAGUCUGGACCUGAGGGGGAGCUCUGCAAAUCUGCAAUGGGAGCAUUAAAUCUGUGGAUAUCAGCCUGUACACAGCUCCAUGGGACAAGGAUCUGGGACGGAGCAUUCGCUCGAGCAGACCGAGGUACAGCAGCGUCAGUAACGGAAAGCAGAAGCCAGGCAAAGCUCAGUUUAAAAGGUAUCUUAAUUCCAUCUACCAGGUAGAUUUUCAUGGAAACAGUCUGCCAAUUCUUACUUUACUCUCAGAGGCCAUUUUUAAAAUUACAACGAUGAUAUUUUCUCUAAGAUACAGGUAUGCUAUUGUUAAAUUCUCUCAAAUGAGAAAAAAGCAACACAUUCCCAAAUAUCUUACGACCUGCAUCAUGCAGGAAGUCAAACCAGACAAACCUAGGUCCCUUUUGUCCUUUAUAAUCUGCUAAUCUAGUCUGCUUGCACAAGCAGCAGAUUGUGACAUGCAGACCUUCAACAGAAAGGAUUCUGUGUACAAACCAGUCUGAAACAAAAUGUUGUAAACAGUCCCAGUCAUUGUUUGGCAGAGCGGCUGCAUAUUUGUUAUUUCACUUUGCCUCUCAAUCUAAUUUGCUUUAGUCACAGCACUUUGCCAAAGAAAUUAAACAACAUCUUAUUGAUAACAGGCACUAAAAUAAUUACCAUGAGUUUUUGACUCAACGACACAGGGGAGGGACGCUGCGGGUAAGAACAAACCCCACUGCAUUAAGAACGUGCAUGGAGUGACCACGGGCCAUUUGGAGGAAAAAAUCUUUGUUUCCUUUCCCCUGAAAGAGCUCUUUCUUUUCCUGAAGAGGCUCGGGCAGCAAACCAGGGUCAGCCUAACCCGAGGCUAGAAGUCUGCUCUGACCUCUGUGGGCUUUAAGCACGCUGUACCAGAACGCUUCUCUUUUCAAAUAGGAGGUUCAACCAUUAAACCACCCACUCCAGGGAGCACAACCGGUCUCAACCGCCUCGGUUGCUUUUCAACAACACUGAACAUUACAGUCAUUUAGAAACCCUACAAACGUACAGAAAUUUUCAGUUCAGACUUACAACAGCCAUUUCCAGAAGUGCUGAGGACCCACGCAGAGCCCUGGCUCUGCUUUACCCCGUGGGGUUUGGCCGGUGUGGGCCCUGGUGCGUGCUGGGGAGCAGCCGGGGGUUCCAGCACCGUCCAUGCGGUGAUGGAUUGCACACAGCAGCAGUCACGGUCCUGCGGAGACGUGCAGAGAGGUGCGAGUGCAGACAAAGCUGUCUGAGCUCCCACGGUAUUAUGGUCUGGCUGAAUUGUUUCGAAGCCUGUGCUGCGUUAGGCAGAGCUAGUUUGCUUCAGGGUUAAACAGACCAAAAUUGAGGUUUAAAAUGCAGACGUUAAGAUCCAUAGAUCUAUUUAAACACCAGCUUAAAAUCCAGGGAAGCUCAUGGCUGGUGCUGUUUCAAUCAGCCAAUUCUUUAAUGGCUUUGCAUGCUGACAACUCAUGAUGAUGCAAGUGGCUGAAACACUGCAGCACAGCUCUAAAGAACCCUGCAAAACCCUGAGGACGGCUCAGCACCUCUCCGGCCAUGGCGUCCCGCUCCAGGAGGCGUCCCACGUUCCCAGAAACAGCAGAGGAGCACUGUAUCGCUGUUCGGAGCACUGUAUCGCUGUUUGCUUUAACCAACGCCGCGUCUCUUCCAUGUGAGGGCAGAAGGGGCUCCAGCAGCACUCCCAUCAUGGCUGCUGGCAGGGCAGGGUGCAGGGAUGGAGCCCAGCCUUGCAGUUUUUCCUUUUUUUUUUUUUUUUUUUUUGCUUUUUUUUUUUUUUUUUCCUUUGGAAAUGUGUUCUGUGUUGUGUGGACAACAGCUCAUCCCUCCCACCGCUGGGCUGCAUGGCCUGGCCCAGGCACCCCUCUAGGUGGGCUUUGUGUGCCUUCCGCCCGCCGAAGCCGGGCUUUGCUAUCUGAUUUGAGGGAGCAGCUCAGCAGGACCCGGGGCUGAGGGCCGGGGAGGCCGCGGGGCUCCUCCCCGCCAUCCGAGGCCACGGGCGGGCGGAGGCAGCCGCCGCUCUGCCGCACCGGCGGUGGGGGGAGAAGGAGGAAAACAACGCAGAGCCAUGUGACGGCAGCGGGGAGCGCUCCCCCGGCACGUUGGCUCCAACUGCUCAUUAGCUUGCCUUCUUCCCCCCCACGCCCCCCAUUUUACAGUUGGGGUGGUGGUGUUUGUUCCUCUUUUUUUCCUCCCCCCUUUGCAUUUAGACUGUUUUCAGCCUUUGGUAUUUAUAAAACCGGCUGGGGGAAGGGAGGAAGGCUGAGGGGCGGGCUGCGUUAUUUAUAGGUGCCCAGCCCGCAGGAUGCGCGCUGCCUUUGUCCUCCCCCCACCCCCCCCUGCCUGGAGCCCCGCCAGCCCCGCGCCGCCCGCUGCCGCAGGGCGCUCCCCGCCGCCGCCAUCUUGUGCGCCGCUCCCUGCUCUCUUUCUCCUUCCGCAGCCCCUUACAAAACGAUGGGGGAAGGGGAAGGGAAAAAAAAAAAAAAAGAGAGAAAGAAAAAGGAAAAAAAAGGGGGGGGGGGGGGAUAAAAAAGGCUGUUUCCCUGCAGUGAUCGGGACGCGGAGCGUCGGGAGGCAGUGGGGGAAACCAGCGCUAAGGAGAACACGGCGCUGAAGAAGAAGCCAUGAUGGCGGCCGCCCUCACACAACACCGAGCGCGACCCGGAGCGCCCUGCCAGCCACCAGCCGCCCUUCCCGGCGCACGGGACACGGUUUCUCCACAGGCUUUCACACAAUAAAAGCACCAGACUUCGGCGGGGAGGCCAUUUCGUGGGCUGGGUGGCCGCACUAAAGCACAAGCGCUGUGAAUUACCAGCUGCGUCACGGCUCUCUCCAACUGUAGCGCUCAGGCGGCAAAGGGUCCCUCACUUGGAAGGCAGCUCCCUCACUCCGGAUUUACUUCCAGACCUCAUUUUUCCCCCCUCUCUCCACCUCACUGCCUCGGUAUGAAGGAUUUUACAGUGCUUUUCAGUGAGACAUCCGCCAUUUCGACUCACCGCCCCCCCUUCCCUCUUGUUUGCUUUUUUUUUUUUCCUCCAUCUGCUGUAAUUAGAUGGAUAAACAUGUAAGGGAGCCCUACCACCGCCUUUUUGCCUCUUUUAAAACCAACUACAGUCCUCACAGUCUGCAGGCAGACAUUUUUUUCCCCCUUUUGUGCCUCUGCCAUGGAUUCACGGAACAAAAAAAAACCCCAAACCACCACACGCACACACACACAAAGAACAGUUCUGCAGACAACCACACACAAAGAAAUCCCUCCUUGAAAACAGGACGUUCCUGAGGUCUUGUAGAUGUGUCUGAGGAGAAGGAGACCGCCAGGACGACCCUUAGGAUCCCUCGCCCAGGACAGUAACACGGGCCUGGUCCAUAUGUUCCUCUGAGGGCAGAAGGGUGUACUCACCACGCACAAUAGUUGAAUGCAGCUCUGAAGGUGAUGUUGUUAUGCUUUUUUUUUGUUUGUUUUGUUGUUGUUGUUUUGGCUUUGUUUUUUAAAUAUAGCUAUAGAUAACUGAUCUGUAUCACCACUUCUCCCGUGCAGAUCGUGGUGGGAUGGUUACGGAGCUUUGUAUGGCUGUGGCUUAGCAUAAAAGAAACACCAAAAAACGACAAAAAAAAAAAUCCCCAAAAAAGCAACAAAAAGCAAUAUAGCAUCUAUAGGAAGCGUUGUGCAGCUCUGCUGAGCGACUGUACGCAGCGAGGAGUCCUGCUCGAGGCUGAGCUCAGUGCGGAUCACACAGAGAAAGGACGCGCAGUGCUUUUCCACAGAGCACACGGCAUGAAAAGGGCUCUCCUGGAGACCUGGGCAGCGUUCAGUGGUGGUAAAACACCCGCGGGCAGCUCUGAGCUGAGAUCUCUUGCUUUCUAAGUAUUCCAAAAGCAUCAAUUGGUUUAGAGCAACAGACAAGAACAUAGACAUGCAAGGUUUAGAAAUAAGGACCACUUCGGUAACAUUAACAUGAAAACUACACUUAGCAAGGACAGAAUGGAGUGGGUACUUACAAUGUAAGAGAAAAAUCUUAAAAUUGCUUUUUUUUUUUUGCCAGAAAUCAGUAUUCCUAUGUCUAUAGUUAAAACAUUACCUUCAAGCACGAGAGGAGUUAAUAACAAUGGCCAGGAAUUAGGUGUUUAACACAGGAAAUGCCUCCUAAAAUUUAUUGUGCAGUCAUCACAGAACUCUAUCAAGCUUUAAAAACCCCCGAAACCAAGCAACAACAGAAAAAAAAAAUAAUCAUGUAUUUACUCUGUUUUUGCAUUCAAAAUUGUUACUGCUGACAUAGGGUGUGCCAUGACCUAGUUACACAAGACAAAGAUGGAUCCCGAAUCAUAAGGGAGAAAUCCGAAAUCUUUUUAAAAUCUUCCUUCUUCCGUGAGUCCUUUGCCAAAAUUAACACCCCCCCGGGCGCUCCUGCCAGUGGACGGAGUGGAUUCACAUGGAGGAUCCCCUUUUGGAACAAAGGAAAGCCCACUUGGCCACUGCGUUCCAUUGCAGAAAGAUGGCCGCCUGGUCUCUCGGCCUCUCCUUAGCUGUCUGCUGAAGGAUGUUUUUAGAUCGCCGUCUAAUAACUCAAGCCAAAUGCAAGCCGCGCGCCGAUUGGCUGCGGCCGCCCGCUGCCUUUAACCAGCCAAUUGCCCGACCGCGGCCGAGCUGCGGCCCCGCGCCCGCCGGCAGCCGCGCCCGCGCCAUGCGCCCACCGCACCCGCCCGGCUCCGCGCCCCGGCAAGCGGCGGGGGGACCGCGCCGCGCGGCCUUUAAUACCUAAAACAAAAUGGAAGCUCCCCGCUGAUUGGCUGCCGCCGGGCCCGGACCUUUAAUAAGCAAAACUACCCCCCCCCCCCCCCCCC